GUCCAGUUGUCGAGCUCUAACCAAUUGAGCUACAGAGUCCAGUUGUCGAGCUCUAACCAACUGAGCUACAGAGUCCAGUUGUCAAGCUCUAACCAACUGAGCUACGGAGAGACAGUUGUCGAGCUCUAACCAACUGAGCUACAGAGUCCAGUUGUCGAGCUCUAACCAACUGAGCUACAGAGUCCAGUUGUCGAGCUCUAACCAACUGAGCUACAGAGUCCAGUUGUCAAGCUCUAACCAACUGCGCUACAGAGAGACAGUUGUCGAGCUCUAACCAACUGAACUACAGAGUCCAGUUGUCGAGCUCUAACCAACUGAGCUACAGAGUCCAGUUGUCGAGCUCUAACCAACUGAACUACAGAGUCCAGUUGUCAAGCUCUAACCAACUGAACUACAGAGUCCAGUUGUCGAGCUCUAACCA
rnacentral:lncRNA from 1 species